rnacentral:rRNA from 1 species
UGGGGAAUUUUGGACAAUGGGCGAAAGCCUGAUCCAGCAAUGCCGCGUGUGUGAAGAAGGCCUUCGGGUUGUAAAGCACUUUUGUCCGGAAAGAAAUCCUUGGCUCUAAUACAGUCGGGGGAUGACGGUACCGGAAGAAUAAGCACCGGCUAACUACGUGCCAGCAGCCGCGGUAAUACGUAGGGUGCAAGCGUUAAUCGGAAUUACUGGGCGUAAAGCGUGCGCAGGCGGUUUGCUAAGACCGAUGUGAAAUCCCCGGGCUCAACCUGGGAACUGCAUUGGUGACUGGCAGGCUAGAGUAUGGCAGAGGGGGGUAGAAUUCCACGUGUAGCAGUGAAAUGCGUAGAGAUGUGGAGGAAUACCGAUGGCGAAGGCAGCCCCCUGGCAAGUACUGACGCUCAUGCACGAAAGCGUGGGGAGCAAACAGGAUUAGAUACCCUGGUAGUCCACGCCCUAAACGAUGUCAACUAGUUGUUGGGGAUUCAUUUCCUUAGUAACGUAGCUAACGCGUGAAGUUGACCGCCUGGGGAGUACGGUCGCAAGAUUAAAACUCAAAGGAAUUGACGGGGUCAUAGCUGUUUCCU